CAAAUACUCCCUCCGUCCAACAAAGGGUGUUUCAAUUUUGACUAAAUUUGAAUGCAUCUAUACACUAAGUCAUGUCUAGAUACAUCCAAAUUUUAACAAACUUGAGACAUCUUUUGUUAGACGGAUGGAUUAGAAA
rfam:Brachypodium distachyon strain Bd21 chromosome 1, whole genome shotgun sequence.